AAACAAGGACGGUCAGAUGUAGAGUUCCAUAUUAAAUAUAUUGGCAAGAUUAGUUUGUUUUUAAAAUAUUUUUUUAUAUAUUUGAUUGCAUUAGGUUUAAGUGUUUAAAGUGUUAGUUUAGUAUGGAAUAUUGUUUAUUUAUGGAUUACAUUUAUUUAUUUGUGGGAAUUAAAACAAAGUAUACUAUCGCCAGUAAUGAAGUUACGACGCAGUUAAAAUUGUAAUCAAAAGUUGGGAUAUUUAUCAAAGAAAUCAGCUCCUGUACACUUUGAUGGUAUAACAUAUAUGUGCAAAUAAAAAGCAAGAAAAAUAUUUAUGGACUAGUACAGAUUUUAAAGGAAAUGUAGAAUUUAAAUGAGGAUUGAAAAAAAAACAUGUAAAGACAGACCAUCAUAAAAUAGAUAACUAUCACCAAAUCACCGUUCACUAAUAAUUAAGUAUAUUCAAAUUUAUUCGAAAAAUCUACAUGAUUUCAUAACCAAUUUGGUAUAUUGAUAUUUUUCGUCGAUAUAUUUCCUUUCUAAUAGCGAAUAUCCAAGGACAAGAAACUCCAAAUUUAAUAAAAAUUAUAUCUUAAAGAAAAUGAGUGUUUUAUCAUCAUGAAAAAUGAAAUCUUACAAAGCAAAUUGAAAUAAUGGAUUGAGAUGGAGAAAUGUAGAGAUAGAUUAACAACAAAAGAGGAGGAUGCUUGGCACUUUAGACCCAUUGAAAUAUCCGAAAUGAUGGAUAAAAAAACAUUUCUUAGAUUUCGAUUUUCUUACAGACAUGAAUACAAAUUUACAUCCCAUCCCGACCGUCUUCUACAACAUAUUAAAAACGUCCGGAUUGGAUUUAUGGGAUCGUAGGGUGAAAAUCUACAUCAAUACGAAUAUAGUUAUAGUACAAUCAAAUUGUAUUCUAGUUUUGAAUUAUAAUAUACAAUUUUA